GAUGAACGCUGGCGGCGUGCCUAAUACAUGCAAGUAGAACGCUGAAGCGAGGAGCUUGCUCUUCUUGGAUUAGUGGCGAACGGGUGAGUAACGCGUAGGUAACCUGCCUUGUAGCGGGGGAUAACUACUGGAAACGAUAGCUAAUACCGCAUAACAAUGGAUGACACAUGACAUAUAUUUGAAAGGGGCAAUUGCUCCACUACAAGAUGGACCUGCGUUGUAUUAGCUAGUAGGUGAGGUAAUGGCUCACCUAAGCGACGAUACAUAGCCGGCCUGGGAGGGUGAACGGGCACAACUGGAAUGGGACAACGGCCAAGCCUCCUACGGGAGGCAGCAGAGGGAAAUUUUGGCCAUGGGGCGAAAGCUGGCCGCAGAACGCCGGGGUGGGGGAGGAAGGUCUUCGGUUGGAAAAGCCCGUUGUAAGGCAAAGACGGGUGGGAGAGUGAAAAGUUCACGCUGUGACGGUAGCUAACCAGAAAGCGACGGCUAACUACGUG
rnacentral:rRNA from 1 species